AAUAAAUAAAUACAUAAAUAUAGAUAUUCAAAUACAUGGAGUGAUCGAGUACUAGUUCCCUGAUCGGGUCUUUUUAUAUACCACCAAUUUAAUAUAGUGGAAACCUAAAACAUGCAAACCUUCUCAAUAUGACAAUUUAUAGAUAAAUUGAGAAAAAUAUAGAUAGCCCGAACUAGUGCGCAUCCCAGUGAACACACCAACGUAACAGUGAUAUCACAUCUAGAGAACAUGUAACGUAACAAAGUCAAUGUAAAUUUUACAUUCUGAUUAUAUAAAUUGUAACGUAAAUGAUAUUACCUCAAAACUACGUAACAAAAUCGACUUAUAGGUGACAUAAUCUUGGUGAUUCUAUUUUAUCGUCACAUUUACAUUACAGCGUAAUGUUUCGGAUAUGUUUAUACUGUUACAUCACUUUUACAUAAAAAAUAGUUAUGUUUAUUUUGCAACAAAAAAUUUCAUCACA